rnacentral:misc_RNA from 1 species
GAAAUGCGAUAAGUACUGUGAAUUGCAGAAUUCCGUGAAUCAUCGAAUCUUUGAACGCACAUUGCGCCCUCUGGCAUUCCGGGGGGCAUGCCUGUCCGAGCGUCAUUACGCACCCUCAAGCCCGGCUUGUGUGAUGGGCCCCGGCGUCUCGUUCGCGAGACGGGCCCGAAAGGCAGCGGCGGCGUCGACCCGAUGAGCCCGAGCGUAUGGGGACUUCUGUCACACGUUCGCGGUGCGGACCGGCGCCUGCUUGACUUUUCUGAUUAUCCAGGUUGACCUCGGAUCAGGUAGGGAUACCCGCUGAACUUAAGC